AAGCAAAAGGGAGAUUUUUCUGUGUGGGCCAACCUAAUCAGAUGGGAGUCCUUUAAAAGAGGAGCUAGGCUCUCCCUGAAGUCAGAGAUUCAUGCUCAGCUUGUACUCAUGGGGUUCCAGCCUGCUCUGACAGUCCCUUCCCAUCUGCCUGCCUGUGGACUCAAUUUCAGCUCAUGCUCAUGCGGUCCAGCCUGUUUGUGACCUUCUCUUCUUGAUCGAUGGUCCUGUGGGCUUCAGGCUUCUUCGCCGGUGCCCAUAAGUGUCUCCAGCUGCACAUUAUCCUCACCUGCUGAGCUUCAAGAUCCUCUCCUAGUCAAGUCCUGCCCCCCCAGUUGAACCAGAGUCUCUGUGGAUGAUGCCCCGGCACGGGUGUGUUUAAGACAUGUCCCAGGUGGCUCCACUGUGCAGCCAGUGUUCAGAACAGGCGAACUGCUACGUGGCUAAGCCCUUGGCUUCUCUUCUCCUAAGGAUUCAAAGAAGGGAUAAGGAACUUCUGUAAAUAUGGAUGAAACAGAUAAGUUGCAAAACACGGUGAUAAAUAUGACAACAAAUCUGUGAGCAUUGCCCAUGGGAGCCCAGAGAAAGGAACACACGGCUCACCGGAGAAGGCAGGGAAACCCCAGGAGACGAGGCAUUUGAAGAGAGCAAGGCUUUCUGGGGAGAGGCAUUUAGGCAGAGGCAGCAGCAAGUACAAAGGCCUCGAGUUAGGAGUCAGCAAGAGUUAGAAGGAUGGCAAGGACUGCAGGGAGACCCGAGGCACUGGCAUGGUGAGAAGAAAGUCGUUGGCAGCAGGACGGUGCCCAGGCUGUGCCCGGCUCUGCAUGCCAUGCUGAGGUGUAUGUCCUCAGACCAGGGGCCGGCAGAGGUUUUACACCUGGUGCCAUGGUCAGCUCUGUGUGCUAAAAUAAUACCCCUAAUACGAUAUGGAGGAUGUGCUGGAGUUAGAAAGACUGAGGGGAGUCAGCAUGGUAGUAAGGGGCCAGGACUGGGCAGAGGAGGAGACAGGAUGGGCAGGCAUGGUUCUGAAAUGGAAUUGACAUGUUUUCAUGAAUGACUGAGUUUCAGGAGUGGAGGAGGAUGGAUCCCAUAUUUUGGAGCAGGGCGUCUGAGCAGAGUGUAAUGCCAUUAAUGGAGGAUGGAAACAGAGGAGAAGGGCACUUUUCUUCGUUUUUCUUGUUUUUUCAGGAAAUAAAAUAAGCUCAGAAUUGGGUUUGUUAAGGUGCCAGCAAGACACCGAAGAGGAGGCAGCAGAUCGAAAGUUGCAAUGUGGAUCUAGACCACAGGUGAACGUGCGAUGAAGACCGAGAUUUGGGAGCCUUUGGACAGAACUGGAGACAGAUGUGAGGGCAGUUAUCCCAGUGAGGAAGAGAUCAGCUAGGAGAGAGGGGCAUCAUGGAGGGGGAUUCUGGACACGCUGCUGUGUGAGGAGGUCAGAGGAGGAAGGGGGAGCCCCCAUUAGGAGCUGGGAGGAAUCUUCAGAGUUGGAGAGAAGAGCAUGCAGAAAGCAGGCAAUAAAAUUCCCUGCACUGGACUGCUUCUGAGCUUAAGACCUUGUCUCACCACAUCUGCAGGAUGCUCAGCCUCCUGUGUCCCAGCUGAGCUCCUGUCGCACCUCCCAGGGCGUGCCCCUCCACACUCCCUGUACAUCUGACUACUAGCCAAGGUGUCUCCCUCUCUCUCUCAAAUAACCCCAAGCCCUCUCCUCUCCUCUCCAUUGCCAUGCCACCACCCUAGCUCAAAGAUGAGCCCCUGCAACAGGUUCUGAAUUGCUCUCACCCCAUCUGCCCUUGCCUAGUACCAGCCCAUUAUACACAUAGCCCCCAAGGAAUGGGUUUAAAAAUGCAGACCUGAUUAUGUCUCUCUCCUGCCUACAUGCCGUCAGUGGCCUGCUGUGAUCCCAGAGAUGGUGGUCGGCAAGGUCCACAUUACCAGCCCUUCUGCUCUAGCCCAUCACUCUCCUUCUCAGUCGUUGUUCAUCCUGCUAGUUGGGGCCACACUGGGCUCUGUCACUUCCAUGGAUGUGCCAACCCCUCCCUGGACCAUGGAAUUUGUAUGUGGCUUCCUCUGGGUGUCAUACUCUGCCCUCCAUAAUCUGAUAAACUCCUACAGGUCCUUCAAGUCCCAGCUGAAAUAGCACCUCUUUGGGGAGAUUUUUCUUUAUUCCAAGAUAAGGGAGCUUCCAUAUGAUGAACUCUUAGAGCAUUCUCUAGUCUUUAUAGCACUUUCCACGAUUAUAUUUAUACAAGGCAUAUGUGCGUAAUUACUUAUUUAAUAGCUCUGUCCCACUAGACUAGACUAUAUGUUUAUGGAGAGAAGGAAUCAUGUUCAUUUUACUCCCUAUGUUUAACACACUGCCUGAAUGUACUUAAAACUAUUUGCAUUAAAAGAAUUAAAAGCAAUGCACAUUCAAGUGCAUUUAAAAGGAAAACAUUCAAGUAGCUAAAAAGCCUGUAUAUAAAUCAAGUAGGAUAAUGGUUGAAAAAUAAGCAACUAGAUUGGCCAAUUAUGAGGUGACUGUGACUCCUCUACUAAGAGCAGUUUCAAUAAAAUGGAAAUGGGUGGAAGCAGAGGCGGGUUUUAUAGAGUUGAGGAAUUAUUGAAGAUUCCAAGAAACGGAAAUAGCAUUCUCUGCUUCUUCCUCCCCUGAGGAAGUUAUCACAAUCCUUCUUCCCUUGUUCACUUUUGGUAACCUCUCAUUUCUUAAUGACAGCAAGAACAACUAUUUAUUCACCACUUGGGCUCAAAAUCUU
ensembl:lncRNA